AAUGAAUCAACAACUCCGGUUAAAAUUGAAGAAGAUUUAGAUAAUCUUGAACAACUUGAAGCGGACUUGAUUAAUACCGGAAGAGAGCCUUGCAUCGUCGACAUAUAAAAGUAUUGCAGAACUUGAAAGUGUGUCAGGUUGAGGAUUUCAGUUCCAGUGUGCCAGAACUUAAGGUUGUUGCAUUAGGGAAUUCUGGUUGAAGCUGCUGCAUUAGGGAAUUCUGGGAUUUUAGUUAAUUUUGUAGAACUGGACUGUUAGCUAUGUUACAGUUAUAGUUAUCUAUAAGAACUUGUAACAAUUAUAGUUAUCUAUAGAUCUGGAUUGAAUGAGAAUGAUCAAUAGAACUUGUAACUGUUA